UCUCUGGCAAUAUUGUGUAAACUUUACUGUGGUAUUCUUCUUGUAUUGAAACCAGCAGCUGUGAGCAAAACAAUUGCAUUUCUUUCCUUAGAAAGCAUCUUUUUUCAGCCUUAUAUUCGCUAGGCUUUAAGAUGUUUGCUUUUCUUGCAAAAUUAUACAUUACAUGUUUAGCCUUUGAGUUUUUUGUGGUACACUGGUGAAAAUCAUUGUUGCACAAAUCAAUAUUCAUGGCAGUAUUGAUAUGAUUUGAAAUGUUUUCGUUCCAUUGUUCCAUUCGUUUUGUUUCUUUCUUUGGUGGAGACAUUUGUCUGACACACCCGGCGGUUUUAUCAUCAGAACAACAAAUGUGUAAAUCAUUUGGUCAUUUGGUCAACGAAGCAUUCAAGUUAAAUCUCCAGUAUGCGUUACACUGAACAUGUUUGUAUCUGUAAUAAAAAAUGUGCUUAUGUGUGUGCUCCGUCGUGUUCAAUCUUAAGUUUCGUUUUGUAAAUUUUUAUUUGUCUUUUUGUCGUUUUUCGAUUUGACUGUCUAUGAAGUAGAAAGUUUUUCUUCUGACUCAUGGUUAUUGGUCAUCGCUUUGUUAUACCACUGCCUCGUUUUCAUAAGUUAUUUUGUCAAAAGCCCUUGUUGUAUUCCCACAAAUUGUCAAAACAGUCUGAACGGCUUGAAAUGCAGGCUACAUACAAACACUAUUCUCAGAAGGAUAUUGUUCAUCACACGCUUACAACAUUUUAAAAAAAACCUUUUUAAUACCCAGGGUCCAUAUACAAAUUUCAAUGUACUUGAUGGAUAAACAUG
rnacentral:lncRNA from 1 species